rfam:Brachypodium distachyon strain Bd21 chromosome 2, whole genome shotgun sequence.
AUUGUACUCGCUCUCGUUCCAUAAUUCUUGUCUCAAAUUUGCCCAAAUAUGGAUGUAUCUAUUCCUGAAAAGCGUCUAGAUACAUGUAAUAUUUCGACAAGAAUUAUGGAACGGAGGGAGUAUAAU